UCAAACUUGGUCAUUUAGAGGAAGUAAAAGUCGUAACAAGGUUUCCGUAGGUGAACCUGCGGAAGGAUCAUUACCGAGUUAGGGUGUCGACUUUUUCGCGCCCGAUCUCCAACCCUUUGCUUAUUUAACCACACGUUGCUUCGGCGGGCCCGCCUGGCGGGUGAGAACCUACCAGGCCGCCGAGGGGCCACUGUGCCCCUGGCCCGCGUCCGCCGACGGCCAAAAUAUCUAAAUUCUUGCUCAACCGUGACGUCUGAAUUUUUUUCAAAUAAAAAUGAAAUAAAAACUUUCAACAACGGAUCUCUUGGUUCUGGCAUCGAUGAAGAACGCAGC
rnacentral:misc_RNA from 1 species